GAUAUUUCGAUUUGUGACUGUAACAACAAAUGGAAAAAAGACACAUUUGUUGUUAUGUUUGCAAAUUAAGCUAUC
rnacentral:pre_miRNA from 1 species